rnacentral:rRNA from 1 species
AGCGGAGGAAAAGAAACUAACAAGGAUUCCCCUAGUAACGGCGAGUGAAGCGGGAUGAGCUCAAGCUUAAAAUCUCCGUACAAAUUUUGUACGGCGAAUUGUAGUCUAUAGAGGCGUGGUCAGCGCGGGCGCUUAGGGCAAGUUCCUUGGAAGAGGACAGCAUGGAGGGUGAUACUCCCGUUCAUUCCUGAGUGGCUCGUGCGUACGACCCGUUUUCUUUGAGUCGCGUUGUUUGAGAAUGCAGCGCAAAGUAGGUGGUAAAUUCCAUCUAAAGCUAAAUAUUGGUGCGAGACCGAUAGUAAACAAGUACCGUGAGGGAAAGAUGAAAAGAACUUUGAAAAGAGAGUUAAAGAGUACCUGAAACUGCUGAAAGGGAACCGAAUCGUAUCCAGUCUAUAAUCUGUGGCAUAUUCCAUUGGCGAGUGCGUGCGUGCGUCUGCUGCAUGUGCUUGCUGGUGCCCUGUGCUGCGGUGGGACGUCAAGGUCAGUUCGUAUACUGCGGGAAAUGACUGCCGAGGAGGUAGGGCUUACGCUUGCGUUUGUCUGUUAUAUCUUGGCGGACGAGUCGUCGCGGUUGGGACUGAGGUGCCUACAACGUGCUUUUGAGUGGGUUUGUGUCUCCGUGUGUGCCGUGUGCGGAUAGCUUGCUAUGUGCGUGUGGUUAUGUGUGGAUUGAUGUGGACUUUAACUUGUUGCCGUUCGGGACGUUGACGAAAUGGAGCGAUCCGACCCGUCUUGAAA